rnacentral:rRNA from 1 species
UCGAUGGUUUUGUAACCAAUGCCAGCAAUAUCGAGCUUGCACUGACGGCCCGAGCAAGCCACUACCAUCGACUCGCCGGCACCCCGCAGUGACCGAAAGGGAAUCGGGUUAAUAAUCCCGAACCCGGACACAGAGAUUGGUCCUUCGGGGCUCAGUGCGGUAACGCAAACCAGUUCGGAGACGCCGAUGCGAGCCCCGGGAAGAGUUUUCUCUGUAAGGAGAUCGAGUCCCUGGAAUGGGUUCACCCCGAGAUAGGGAUGGUGGCUCCGUGUGCGGCUCUUGCGCUGUCCGGUGCGCUCGCGUCGGCCCUCGAAAAUCCGAGUGAGGGAGUGUGAUUUUCGUCUG